rnacentral:misc_RNA from 1 species
GGAAAAUAUUGAUGCCAAUCUUGUAGGCCUAUUUUUCAAGGAACUUCAAAUCAUCAUAAUUUGAAAAUAUCAAUCUUUGAUUCCAAUUACUAUAAAUGUUAUUUUAGGACAUAAAAAAUUACAUGAUUUAGACAAUGAGAACGUAGCACAAAAUUUCUCAACAUGCAAUGAACAUGGUCAACUAGUUGAGUGUCCUACCUUCAUCAAUUCUGCCUACGUUGG